CUCAACUUAAUUAAUCCUGUGACUUCUUAUGAGGACUACGUCGGCCAAGAUUUUACUAAAUUGAAACACAUUAAGGCAUACUCUCUAAUGACUUCGAGUGGCCAAUUCCAUCUUGACUCACACACUGACUUCAUAAGUGCUUGAUCAUAUCCAAAAAUCUUUCAUCACUGAAUUAAAAAUUUAGAUAGUCCCACAUCAAAGCACAGUGAGUUGCUUGCAAGUCACCAUGAUGAUCUC
rnacentral:lncRNA from 1 species